GAAGAAAUUUUUUUUAAAAAAAGGAAUUUAACAAACAUAAAUAAUAAUAACCCAACAUGUUUCGUGUUCUUUGCCACUGCAUCGAUUUUAUUGAUUUUCAUUCUGCAAACCUGGGAAUGUGCGCGCCCUGUCGGGGAGGCUGUCAAAACCCAGUCGCAGCGGGGAGUGGGUGGGGGACAAUCCUCCGGCGCCGCGGCCCCGAUCCGCCCCCACCCAACCGGCGCACCACCUCCUAGGCACCACAGAGCCUGCGCAAGCCGCCGGGCCGUAAAUGACCUGGCCCCCAAGCUCCGGGAGCUACAGUCCCGCCCCUCUCUCUCCUCAGUGCCCUGCAGCGCUCGCAGGGUCCGCGUCUGCCCUUCCCAAGCCCCCACUGUCAAUACAAUCGCUGUAAAAAACAAAAAUCUUCUUAAAGCCAGGCACGUGCCGUCGGCCUCUCCCCUGCCCGCCUGGCCCAGGAGGCGCCCACACCUGCGCCCUCACUUGCCGAGACUUUACCUGUGCAGUCCCCCGCGGCGCCGGCAGCCGCGCAGGGUGUUGCUGUUAUGCAGACUUGAGUGCUGGGAUCACAGCUCACUGCAGCCUCAUCCUCCUGGGCUCGAGCGAUCCUCCCACCUCAGCCUCCCAAGUAGCUUGAACUACAGGAAUGACUGCUUCCAGCUGCUGCAUCCCGAAGCCUUAGCCCACCUGUGA
rnacentral:lncRNA from 13 species